CAGCAGUCGCCGCGGUAAAACGUAGGGUGCAAGCGUUAAUCGGAAUUACUGGGCGUAAAGCGUGCGCAGGCGGUUAUAUAAGUCAGACGUGAAAUCCCCGGGCUCAACCUGGGAACUGCAUUUGAGACUGUAUGGCUAGAGUGUGUCAGAGGGGGGUAGAAUUCCACGUGUAGCAGUGAAAUGCGUAGAUAUGUGGAGGAAUACCGAUGGCGAAGGCAGCCCCCUGGGAUAACACUGACGCUCAUGCACGAAAGCGUGGGGAGCAAACAGGAUUAGAUACCCCCGUAGUCCCUGUCUCUUAUAC
rnacentral:rRNA from 1 species